rnacentral:rRNA from 1 species
GACGAAUGCUGGCGGCGUGCUUAACACAUGCAAGUCGAACGGAAAGGCCCUGCUUGCAGGGUACUCGAGUGGCGAACGGGUGAGUAACACGUGGGUGAUCUGCCCUGCACUUCGGGAUAAGCUUGGGAAACUGGGUCUAAUACCGGAUAGGAGCCAUCUUUAGUGUGGUGGUUGGAAAGUUUUUUCGGUGUAGGAUGAGCUCGCGGCCUAUCAGCUUGUUGGUGGGGUAAUGGCCUACCAAGGCGGCGACGGGUAGCCGGCCUGAGAGGGUGUACGGCCACAUUGGGACUGAGAUACGGCCCAGACUCCUACGGGAGGCAGCAGUGGGGAAUAUUGCACAAUGGGCGCAAGCCUGAUGCAGCGACGCCGCGUGGGGGAUGAAGGCCUUCGGGUUGUAAACUCCUUUCGCUAGGGACGAAGCUUUUUUGUGACGGUACCUAGAUAAGAAGCACCGGCUAACUACGUG